rnacentral:lncRNA from 1 species
UAACUUUAAAAAGUUUAACUUUAUUUAGACAGAAAACUUGGAUAAAGUUUUGCAGAGGAAGCAGAGCCAAAUAAGAGCGAAUUUCACUUCACCAAGUCAGAGAAGGAAAGCCCCAUGGCCAGAAGAUUCAAGACCAAAGACCAAUAUGGAGAGAUGAUGAUCAGCAGGAAACAGCAGUCAAGGCUUUGCUGCAGCACUGACUUCACAGAUGAAAACUGACAGCAUUGUCUAUCUCUCAUCUUUUGGCUUGGGGAUUCUUGAGAACAGUGGCAUAGGUUGGAUGUGAGUACUUAUUAACUCUCCAUGUGCCACAGUUUGAUUAAUGGUGAAGGAAACUUGUUUCCCUGAUGUAAAUAUUCCAAGGCAUAGUCUCUAAGACACUUCAGAAGGUCUUGGCUAUUUUGAGGUGUCCACUAAAACGAUCAACACUGGCAUAUCAUCAAUGACUUUCCUUCCUUCUCUGUUCAUUCUCAUUCUUCCUUACCUUUUUCUCAUCUCACUACUCAAACAAACAAACAAACAAACAGAAACUACCUUAACAAAAGCCUUUUUCUGUUUCUGCUUUUGGGUGGGGGAUGCAAAACUCAGGGUAACAUUCAAGUGUAAGAAGAAAAAAG